GGAGAAGGACAUCUCUCACAAGCUGCUGGAGUGCAGACCUGACAGCAACCACUACAGUGCCUGAGAUCUGGAAGGACUGCCAGAGCUGCCAGUCACUGAAGACACCGAGGAAUUGCUGGGGCUGCUCUGAUCCAUUUAUCCCUGUGAGACAGACAAUGACCCAGGGCAGAGCCUCCUGACUGUGCUACCCUGCUGAGUGGCAGAGACCCUGGUGUUAAUUCCCCCCUAAACUGUGCCCUUCCAGAGGACUUGUAGUGAGGCGGCAUGGCCUCCGUCCCAGACAGAUGGAGGGACAACUGUGACCACCUUACAAAGACUCAUUGUGUUCCCAGAAACACUGUUGUAAAGAGCAGCUGUCUUGGAGUGACAGACUGGGCAUGUUGAUGAACCCAAAUGGAAGUGAGGCCAGGAAGUCAAAAAAAACCAGCCUGUCCCCAGGCUUCUGAAUACAUCCUUACUCAUGGGGUACCGACUGAUGAACACUUCUUUAAUCCAUCUGUAGUUGGCUGUAUUAAUCUAGUGUUGCUUAUUUCAUGGCCUUUCUUUUCCCUUUUAACAUGUGAUGUAUUCGUUAACAAUCCCCCAAACACCCAUAGUCCAGAAAACUGACUGUCUUGGCUACAAGGUUAGCUGCACCUUGUCUUUCUCUGAGUGCAUCUCUCAGAUGACCAGUCUCAAGCUCUUGCUUCUCUUGGCAUGGACUCGUGCAGUUCUCGCAUUCUUCACACAGGACCUGGGUUACAGAUCCCUAUAUACUGGCCAUGAUUACUUCAACAGGCCCAACUUGAGUUCAGUACCUGAAGAUCUGCCCUUUGUGAACUGUGACCAGUGCUAUAUAUAAGGAAUUGUAUAUCAAGGCUAUAUUGCAUGUAGCCUCUAAACAAAUUAUUGUUGAUUCUUAACAGUAGGACCCCACAUAACAUAAAGGAACAAGGAUUUCAAAAUAAUAAAAGUCUAUUUACCCAGAUAUCCCUCCCCCAAUGUUGGCCAGGUAGGUUCAACUGCUUCAGACUCUCUCCAUGGACCCUCUCUCUGAGGCAGCCUGCUCCCCCUGACAACUGACCAGUCUUUCUAGAGAGAGCAACUUUUUAACUGUUUCCUGUCCUUUUGAUCUUCAGCUCCCAUCCCUAGUAAAAUAGGUCUUUUUAUUUUGCUGGAGCCAAGGUGGGUAGGCUUGCCCCAAUUAAUAGCCUAGUCAAUGUUCUCUUAACUCCAAAGUGUUUUACCUGGAAUGUCUUAUCUCUAGUCAUUUUCAUUCCGUGCUUUGUUUUUCCUAGCAGCCCCUUUUGACUUAACUCCAUACAGUCAGACAGUAAACAGCCCUUACAGCACUUGGACAAAAUAUAGUAUUCACUAAUUAAUACAGAGCAGUUGCACGUUCUUCUUAUUUACAGUCAGGUUGUUAAUGAAUCCCCCUCCAGUUCUCCUACCCAAAACCUUGACAAACUCUCAAAACAAACCUAUUUUAAGGCUUUUUUAUUAAAACCUCAAGUUUUUCCAUGUGGUUCCAUAAAUUUAUCUCUUAAAUAAUCAUUAGAAAGUAAUAAUAAAUCAUCAGGAUUGUAGUUAUUUAAUAAAUUGUCUUUCUAUUGCCUUGCUAGCCUGUUUGGCCUAGUCUGGGAAAGGAAAGCCCUGGGCGCUGUUUGACAUAGCGUGGUCACAAAGAUCCCUACAUUGUUUAGAGCAGGAAAAUAGGUGAUGUUAGAAUGUGUAAGUGAAUGCAUUUUAACUAACAUAUCUUAAAACCUAGCAGGGAGCAAGGUUGGCCUUGUGAUUAAAGCACUGAACUGGUACUUGGGAGAUCUGGAGUCAUUCCCAGCUCUGUCCACAGACAUCUGAUGGGACCUUGAGAAAGUCACUCAAUCUCUGUGUGCCUCUUUACCCAAUCCGUAAAAAGUGGAUGACAAUACUUUCUCCCUCUUGUCUAAUUAGCCUGUAAACCUUUUAGACAGAGCUUGUCUGUUGUCUUGUAUGUACAACAUCUAGCACAAUGGAGCACUGAUCUUAGUUGGGGCCUCUAAGAUUUUAUAACUGCAAUGCAGUUAUAAAAAUUAGUUAUUAA